rnacentral:lncRNA from 1 species
AAACCCUAAGGAAGGAGAAGACUCUUUUUGAAGGAAGAGGAUAAAUAUGUUAAUAUAAUGGAUGGUUCUUGAGUAAGGAAGGAGACGUGGUUAUAAUAAUGUGAAUGGAUAUUUUAUUUUUCCUUGAAACAUUGGGAUUUGGUAAAUCAAAAACGGCGAAAUAGAGGGAAGGUUUUUUUUUUUUUUUUUUGGUAGUGUGAAAGUAUUUCUCAAAUGUUAAUUUACAAAAAAUUUAAAAAGUCGUAGUAGAAAAGAGAUGAUAAUAAUAAAAAAAGACAGGUACGUCUACUCUUUCAUAGGAAUCUGUGGUUUUCUCUGCCUUGUCUUGUAGUAAAGAGAGCACAGCCAAAGCAGAUUAUUACAUCAUAUAUUUUUGAUUUUAUCGAUAUAUUUUUCUUUUUUUAUAAACUCGAGAUUUCUUAGUUUUAUUAAAGGUUUAAUCAUGAAGUAAUUUGAAAAAAAGAAAAAGAAAAAAAUUACUAGAGAAACGAGGAAUGGGGCACUUGUUUCUAUCUGAGUAUGCGUGCGUGCAUGAGAAAAAAAGUGCAGUGGUAUUCUUCUUCUCUGUCAGUGAUGAGAAAAAUAAAAGAGAAGAUUCAGAUUUUGCUAUCUUUUUACACAAUUUUUUACUCUUUUUUUCUUUUAUUAUUGACAUCUACAAAAACUUGAAUCUUUUUUGUUUUGUUUCUUGGUGUUAUAUGUUUGUGGGGAGGGGUACAUUAUUAUUUAUUGUACAUAUAUACAAUGACUAAUCGAAACAAUAGUAAUAUAGUAAGGGUUACAUUAUUAGACAUAUAUAUAUAUAACUUUGGAAAGUGAAAGAGUUUUCUAUUUUUUCGUUUUUUAAGAAAAAUAGGUAUUAUUAUAUCGAUAAGGCUGUUUCAAAUCUUGGAGUGUCAGCACAGUACAUGAUUAAUUUUAUCAACCAAAAAAAAAUUGACAGAGACUUCGUUACUACACGCCACCACCUUCUCCACCUUUCACCUCUCUCUCUCUCUUUUUAUCUAUCUUGAAUUUUUCUUUUCAUUUUUUUACUUUUCAUUGCUUUCUUGAUCAGUAAAAAAUAAAUUAAUUCAAAAAUAUCAGUUCGAUUUUGGUUUUUUAUAUAUGGAACGAGAUUUUUAUGAUAUGAGAUUGAACAAUAAUUGAAAUCGUAAAAAGUUACAAGAUAUACCAGAGAAGAUAUUGAUGCGGCCGGCCUGGUUUUUUCGUUUUCUUGAUUGUCUACAAAAUUCUCUUUUGUAUUUUUUUUUUACUUUUAAUAUAUUAUUAUUCUUGCAAGUUGCACAUCAAAUAAACAACCCGGAAAAUAAAUAGGCAAAUUGCAAAUUGUGUUACUAUUUGUUAAUCCAAUUUUGUCAAUUAUUACAAAUCCACCUUAAUUUUUUUUUAGUUCUGUUACUACUUUCAUACAUUCCUUGUCUCUAUAAAUUAAACAAAGUUGUUUGUUUUAUUUUUUAAGUAGAGCUUCAAGUGUUUUAGCUUGAAUAGUUGCAUCUUCUAAAAACAAAAAAUUCAAAGUGUUUAGACCUACUUGACAGGUCUAGUCUUUAACUAGAAUUUUUAAGCACAUAUUUAGUUAAGGUUCAGUUCAAUUAUACUAUUAAACUAGGUUCGGAUCCGCGCUACAGCGCGGAGGAAAUAAUUACAUAUAUAUAACUUUUAACGGAUUAGAAUAUGUUACAUUUUAAUUUUGUUAGAGUGCAGUCAAUUACGGUAAAUCAUAUAUUUGUAUAAUAAAUUUAAAUAAAAUAAUAAAGAAAAAGCGAGUAAAUAAUCAUAUACUGAGUUUUGAUACAAUUAAAAACACGGUUAAAAUUUAAUAUCACGAAAUAAUAUUGUCGAUAAAUUAUUCAUUUUGACUAUUUUUGUAGUAAAAGUAGGAAUACACGUAAAAAUUACAUAUUUACAAUAUAUUUUUUAAAAGUCCGACCCGUAACAGAAUUCAUUUCGUAAAAAACAUUAUUCGUAACUCGCUUUAUCAUUAUAAUUGUGAUUUUAACAAACUACCCGUGAAUUAUCUAAAAUUUACAUAGUUUGAUAUAUAAUAUAUUUUAUCAAUAAAAACUAUGNNNNNNNNNNNNNNNNNNNNNNNNNNNNNNNNNNNNNNNNNNNNNNNNNNNNNNNNNNNNNNNNNNNNNNNNNNNNNNNNNNNNNNNNNNNNNNNNNNNNAUUUUAAAUUCUAAAAGUUUUAUAUAUUUGAACCUAUUAUUUAUAAUAUUUUGAAACUAUUUGAAAUUUUAAAUAUGCUCACGUAACAAUGGUUUUAAUAUUGGUCAUACUUAUAAUGAUUUUAAACCAUUGUCCAAAAUAUUUAACCGAGUGUAGUUGAGUAUUAUACGUCCGUUUUGAAAAAUUCAAAUUGCAACAUAUGCAAAAAAAAGUUAAAUUUUUAUUUAAUAUUUAUAUUAUAUAAUAUAAUAUCAUAAAUUAAAAAUAACAUCAAAUAAAAGUGAAAGAAGAAUAAUAUUUUUUAAAAUAGAUUAUAUUAAAUUAGUUAGAAAAAUAUUAGUAAAUCCUAUAAUUAGUUAUGGAAAUAAUAUAAUGCUAAAAUUAGAUUUGGAAAGUAUCCGGUGUAUGUAUCCAAACCCAUUAAUCUAUCCAACUUUAAAAGAUCCAAUUACAAAUUUCGGGUAAUUUUUUGAAAUUGACCCGACCCGGAAACACUUUUUGUACUUCUCUUUUACUAAUAUAGGGAUGUGAUUAAAUUAUAUAGAAUUAAGGUGGUAAGUUCUUACCAUUGAGUUAAUCUCGCUAACCGUUUGGAAGAGGUGACAAGGUGUCAAACAUACUAUUUUUGGUUUACUAUUUGUUUCAUGCAAGUAUAAAUAUGUUGGUAGUUUUAGUUAAGAUUAUCAUAAUGAGUGACAUAUAGAAGUUAUUUGUAAACAAUAAUUAAUUAUCGUACCACCAUCAUUGUUGAGGAUAGAUCAACCUCUAGAUACUAAACUAAACUAUACUCUAAAGUAACUAUUACAAACUUUUUAUCGUAUAUAAAAAGUUGGGAUAAACUUAAUUAGAAUAACUCGUCCCUUUGACAAUUCAUAUCAACGUUUGGUUCCGAGAGUACCGAUUCAUAACUUUUUUUUUGUUUACUACUUGUUCUCUCUAUCAAGUGUGUGUAAUUAGAGAGAACAAAAAAAAAAGUUAUGAAUCGUACAUUUAAAUCAUUAUCAGAUACAUGCUAUAAGACUAUUACACCUGCUACAACUGUUUAAUAGUAUUUAUUACUAUCUAGAAAUCGAGGUCUAUAAUCUAUAUGUCUGUUUAGACAUAUCAGCAAAUGACAGUAACUAAAUCUACUUAAUAAGAUCCUUUCCACUUUUCCAGUCUAAAUACAUACAUGCUAUAAUACUACAAAUAUUUGGAGUAGAAAAGAAUAUCACGUACAAAGGUAUGAGCAGAAGCAAAUAACAGUAUACAAUUGUGAUUUUGAAUCUAUGAAAGUUGUAAAUAUGCUUCGUUCGCCAAAGUGCUAAUUGUCUAACAUUGAAAACAAAGUCCGUAAUACACUGAGAUGCUCAGACGACGUACGUAGGUUACCAUUUCGCCAAAACGGAUUGCAAUGUUGAUAUUUCACAAUGUUGUUUUCGUAUCUUUAAUAUUCUUAGAACAUACUUUUAAGUUUUGUAAUUGUUUGCUCACUUGUAACCAUUUAUUUUACAUAAGUAAUAUAUAUGGAUAACAAAUACUGUAUAGUUUUGUUUGUUUGGUAUCCAUAUAUAUUAAAUACUACAUUUAUUUAUCCUUCUUUUUUUUUUUUCUAAUUAAAGUUGAGAUUAUGAGUGUCGUCACUUGUUGCUUUAGAGUGGUCAUUUGGUUUUAUCAAUUUACCAUUAAAUUUGUUGCUGUUGUUGUUUUAUAACCCGUUUAUAUUUAUCAUUUAUUACCAUUAUUUUUAUUGAUUUGUUUUUAAAAAAGAGGUGACGCUAAAGGUAUGGGGUUAAAUGUUAUUAAUACCUGCAAAAGGCGAAUAAUAAAUAAUGAUAAAGCCAUAAUAAAUGCAGGGGGGGUUAACACAGUAUUAACAAACAGUAUAAAUUCCCUAGUGAACCUACUCAAUUGAGUUAACGUAUAGCCUAAUAGCCCAAUAAUGCAUAUAUUGGUUCAAAAGAGGAGGAUCUUAUACUUCAGAUAGUCAAAUUAUCUGUUUUUUCUCGAUGGUCAAGCUCUCAAACAGUCGAAGGAGUAGGUGAGUGAACUGUGAAAGCAGCAGGUGAGAUAGAGCUAAUUAUAUCAGUACAUGAUAACAUGAACUGAUCAGUUUUAUCUUUUAUGUAAUGUAUUCAUAUUAAUGGUGUACUGUCAUUUACUAUUAGUUUAUGAUAUCUCGUUUUCUAAUAGAUUUUAACGCAACUGUACCAGGCAUCGACUAAAUUGAAAGUCUUUUAUAUCAAAUAAUCUGACGGCACAGUAGGAAAUAAAGGAUUUGCUCUGGAUUUAGUAUUGCAUUGCAAAAUAAUUUUAUCUUCUAAUUAAACAAACUUCAACAUUUGUAAUCUAGGCUAUAUAUGUAUAAAGGCUUUUUCAUUCAGAUUAGUAUGAAAUUGUUACUGCACCAAAUCUUUUCUCUUUACUUUGGUCAUUGUUAAUUAGACCUAACGUAUCUAAAAAAUAUAUGUCACUCAACAUUUACGCAUAUGAAUGUUACACUUGUAAAUUUUUUUCCUCGAGUAUAAACAAUGUUUGUUUCUUCUUUACAAUAAUAGAGCUAGACCUUCAUUCAACUCGUUGAAUACGAAACGACGUCAUUUUUCUUUUGAUAUUUUUACGUGGCCGCUGAUGCUAAUAUGUUGAUUCACAUCGUUAUGCAGAAAAAUCAACCAAAUCACUUUAAUUCAUGUCUCACGAAACAACUACAUGAAGUUUUUGGCAUGGUCAUUUAGUUCGGAUAGAACUCAUCACAUUGAGGAUAAUAGUUACCACAUAUAAGCUUUUUUAGCAACAUAUAAAGAAAAAAGAAAAAAAAGGAGAAUAAUUCGUUUAUGAAAGUGUCCUUUUCCCAUAUCAUGGCUUGCUGUUUUCCAAAUAUAUUAUAUGAUGUUACUGUUUUAAUCCUACGACAGAAAAUAUAUUAUUUUAAGAGAUACGACGAAAUUGUAUAUUAGAUCACAUCAUUCGCAUGCGUAAAAAAUGAGUAGCACGGUUUAACAAAUGUAACAAUAUACAAACAAGUGCCAAAUGAAUAAUAAAAUCGCAUGCAAAUGGUUAAAGAGCUAGCCUAUUCCUACAAAUAACAUGCCUAAACAUGUGUUCUUUACCUAAAUAUUUCCAAGUUUCAUUAUCAUUUAGCAAAUAAACAUGUGUUUUUUUUUUAAGUAUAAGGAGGAAUACUUGGGAUUUUCACUUAUUUUUUACCCUUUAGUUUCUCACUAGUAUACACUUCUUUGGUGUGUAUUUUUUUUUUUCUUGGUCCCCUUAGAUAGCCUUACACCUAAAACCUAGCUGUUGAUGCAACGUCUCUCUUUUAUUUUUUAUUUUUUUUUCUCUUCCUUUUCUUUUGCAACUUGAUGCAAAACGCGUCUUCACUCUUCAAGACCAGAGUACAACCCCAUAAUAUACAUUUUACCUCUAUAAUAAGAUAAUUUUGUUUUACAUACGGAUAAUCUUUUUCUUUCUUUUACUCUUACAUCGUUAAGUGAGUAUACUUUUAUAAAUACGUUUAUUUCUUCGAAAAAAUGUCUAUUAUGUUUAAAAGUUGCAUUAAGAUACUUUUUUCAGUUAGGAUGUAAAUUACUCUAAUCGAGUGGGUUUUACAAUGAAAAAUGAAAAAAACUUUUAACUGGCUAAACAAAAAUAAAAAUCAGUGGAUCUACUAGCCUCUACUCACGGACCGAAAUUGUUUAAUGACUUUGAGCAUAUAUAUAAUGGGCUUUGAAGGCCAUAUUUUCGCUAGCAUCAGACUUAGUGGCCCAAUAAAUGUGAUGACGCAGUGGCACAUUUUAUUGCAAAAAUUACGGACGGGACAAUGUCAUUGCAAAUUUGCAAUACUCAAAUGUUCCCAACAAAAAAAAGAUAUGUUUUGUAAAUCUUUAUAUAAGUUUUUAAAACUUACAAUGAUAUAUACGAAAAUUGUCAUCGUACCACCUAAACUCCCGUAUAAGAGUCGAGGGUUGUAAACUUAUUUAUGACAAAAUAUUCAAGGAUGCCCAAAAUUUAAUACCUAUUUGGCCAAACUUUAGCCAGAGCUAAAACUUAGAUAUAACCUAAGGCCAUCAUUGUUGUUGGUCUCCUAAGAUUUGUUAAGAGAUAAUAUAUACAAAUUAAAUACCUGAUUAAUCAUGGGGGAAAUCUUAUAUUUUAUACAAGCUAGCAGAGUCACAUUCUUCCUAUGCGGCAUAAUGGUAUAGAAGUUCUUUAACAUGGAAAAAGUAAAUAAACUGGAACUACAACUUAGAUUCCACUAGGUCUUACUCUUGCAGUAUUCGUAUAUACCCGUAUUUUUACAUAUCUUCUUAGGUGUAGUUUUGGGCUAUGUUAUAUAUAUAUAUAUGCCAAUAUAACAUUCGUCACACCUUUAUCUAUCACAAUUUGUGAGUAUCAAUUGAAAUUGUUUUAUAAUUUUUAGGCCUCAUCGUAUAUAUAUGCCAAUAUAUAUAACAUAUUAACAUUCAUCACACAUUUGCAAUAUUUAUCAUAUUUAGUUUGAAAACCAAACCAAAUCUUAAUUAGUAUAUAAUAGAAUAUACACAUGAAGAAUGCGUGGUGAAAUUGAAACAUAUUACAUCAUCGUCAUUAGAAAACAUCGAUUAGAUGAGUUGUCGGCGUCGUCUCGAUUCGGACAGCGAUUUGAAGACGAAUACGAACGGCGAGAAAACAUAUAUUUCUCCGUUUUGUUAGUUUAGGAGAGGUGAGGUGAGGUGGAAGAGAUGACAAAUGGAAGCUUACGUACCAAAAAAGAAGGACACGUAAAGAUUUGGUAGAUACGUACGGUGUAAGUCAUCUCAUCUUCACAAUUCACAAAUGGUAGUAUACCUUUUUGGUUUUAUCUUGUGCUUCGUCUUUACCUACGUGGCCAUUUCAUCGUUCCGUUCGUCAAAACCACAAUAAAUAUCAAAUAAUCUUAUCUACCAUAAAGAUGGUAUGGUCCGUUUCUUUUUUUAAAAGGUUUUUUGGGUUUGAAUGAUUUAUCAACGGUCGCAUAGAUAUUUUAGUCUAUAGGCCGACGUCCAUAACCAUCGAUCAUCGGGGAUUAGAACAUGUUUGAUGAGUAGUCUCUUUUUUUUUUCGUUAUUGGCUGCGAUGUUUAUCUGAAAUUCGUAAGAAAACUAACAGAAAUUACGACUUUAUAUGCGUGUGUGCUUUAAAUUUCUGAUUCACCCGUGAAGCGUAAGAUGUAAUUUAUACUUCUGAAUCAUUCACCCGUGAGUUGGAUAAAAACCAACAAAUACAAAAUUCUCCGAGCUUACAACCUUUACUCUGAAUUCACAGUCCAUCAAGAUUAAAAAAAAAAAAAAAAACGUUGGUUUAAUAUAUGAAAAUAAUGGCAAUAUGUAAAAUUUAUAAGGUUUUGUAAUCAAUAUAUAUUUAAUUUACCAUCAUCACAUUAUGUAUGUGAAGCAAUGUGAUUCAUGAGGCAAUGUGAUUCAUGUGGCCUCACAUAAAUAUGUUUUUUUUUUUUGGUUGUAAAAAGAUAGUAAUCUUAAGAGUAUUAACUUGUCAAAAAAAAAAAGGGUAAAAAUCUUAAGAAUAUUAAAUCACAUAUUACAGCUAUCAUAUAUAUAGUUAAGAAAUAUGUAAUAUCUUUUGACUUCUUUGCAAUUCUGUAAUGAAACCCAUAAUUACAGCUACCAUUAUCUCCUACUUUGGGUAUAAAUUACACAAUUAUAAAAAAACUUAGUCCGAUUCGGUAAUGAAAACAAAGACUUUGGGUUAAAAGUCCUAUAAAAUAAUAAUGUUAAAUACGAAGGAGAGACAAAUGAGUGGUUGUAAACAAAAAUAAACCACAAAUUGUUUUUCUUAUAUCUUUCCUUCUCCAAUCUGGCAAAUCUCACUCUCAAAUACACACACACACAUCAAACCCAAAACCACCUCUUCCUCUUUACGAGUUGCACCGAAACAAGAAAUUUCAAGAAGAGAUGGAGAAUGGAGCAACGACGACGACGAGUACAAUCACGAUCAAAGGGAUUCUGAGUUUGCUAAUGGAAAGCAUCUCAGAAGAAGAAGGAAAGAGAGUUAUAUCUCUUGGAAUGGGAGACCCAACUCUGUAUUCGUGUUUUCGUACAACGCAAGUCUCUCUUCAAGCUGUUUCGGAUUCUCUUUUGUCCAAUAAGUUCCAUGGUUAUGCUCCCACCGUCGGUCUUCCCCAAGCCCGAAGGUUAGUUUCGUCUUUUCGCUUUGUCUCUCUGUUUUUUUUGGUGUUUUUUCUCGCUUGGUACGUGUGGUGGCGAUGCUGUUUUAGGGUAGAGAUGUCUCAUAUUCUGUUGGUUUAACUAUACCGAAAUCAUAAAUUGAACCAAAAUUUUACUGGUUGGUAAAUUGAACCGAAUUUUAAAUUUUGGCUGAUGUGAUGAAUGAAUUUUACAGUUUCUAGAAAAUCUGAUUAAUGAUGAAAUUUAGUAGAAAAUACCAACGUUUUUGGCAAAUUAAAUUCGAAAGAAAAAAAAAAUCGAAAGAAACUUAUUAACUUUUUUUUUUAAAUAUGAAAAAUUAUAAAUAAUGUAAUAAUUAAUUUUGCUUCACUAAUUUUCGAAUUUAUUGAUUUAUUUUAGUCAUUUUUAUUAUCAAUGCCUUCAUUUAUUGGUUCGGUUGCUAUUGGUUUAAAACGGUUUUUUGGUUCAUGACUUGUUUUAAAGCCUUUUGAUUGUAACGGAGUCUUUGCUGUAUUUUUCAUUUUAUUAAUUUUAUGAGAAAAAAAGCAAACAAUGAAAAAGACUAAAACUUGCAAAUCAAGUCUCUCACACUUUGUGUUGUGUGUAACAAAACAGGGCAAUCGCGGAGUAUCUAUCACGUGAUCUUCCAUACAAACUGUCACAGGAUGAUGUCUUUGUUACAUCGGGUUGCACGCAAGCGAUUGAUGUAGCAUUGGCUAUGUUGGCUCGUCCUAGGGCUAAUAUAAUUCUUCCAAGACCUGGUUUCCCAAUCUAUGAGCUCUGUGCUAAGUUUAGACACCUCGAGGUUCGCUACGUCGAUCUUCUUCCAGAAAACGGAUGGGAGAUCGAUCUUGAUGCUGUCGAGUCUCUUGCAGACGAAAACACGGUUGCUUUGGUUGUUAUAAACCCUGGUAAUCCUUGUGGGAAUGUCUAUAGUUACCACCAUUUGAUGAAGGUUAGCUUGAGAGUUCUGUAACUAAUGUUGUUUCUUGUUUUGAGAUUGUGAUGUAUUCAAAGUUGUGUUUUCCUUAUUUUGUGCUACAGAUUGCGGAAACAGCGAAAAAACUCGGGUUUCUUGUGAUUGCUGAUGAAGUUUAUGGUCAUCUUGCUUUCGGGAGCAAACCGUUUGUGCCAAUGGGUGUGUUUGGAUCUAUUGUUCCAGUACUUACUCUUGGUUCUUUAUCAAAGAGGUGGAUAGUUCCUGGUUGGCGGCUCGGGUGGUUCGUGACAACUGAUCCUUCUGGCUCGUUUAAGGACCCUAAGGUUAGUAAUAGCUUCAGUCUUUAUUGAAACUGAUGAUGCAGAGAGUGCAAAAUAAGCUGUUUACUUACUGAAAAUUUGUUCAUUUGGAUUAGAUCAUUGAGCGGUUUAAAAAAUACUUUGAUAUUCUUGGUGGACCAGCUACAUUUAUUCAGGUAUGUUAUAUUAUAUAUGUUACUUAGAUUUCAAAAUAUUUCUGAUCAUCUUUGAGUAAUUAAUCUUGUUCUUGAUUGUGUUGCACCAGGCUGCAGUCCCCACGAUUUUAGAACAGACGGAUGAAUCAUUCUUCAAGAAAACCUUGAACUCGUUGAAGAACUCUUCGGAUAUCUGUUGUGACUGGAUCAAGGAGAUCCCUUGCAUUGAUUCAUCGCAUCGGCCAGAAGGAUCCAUGGCAAUGAUGGUGAGCAUCUAUAUUAUAAAAUUGUGAAAAAAUGUAACACAAAUUGUUACACACACAUCUAUGGUCUUAAACAUUUGAUUUGUGUACUGUCGUUCAGGUUAAGCUGAAUCUCUCAUUACUCGAAGAUGUAAGCGAUGAUAUCGACUUCUGUUUCAAGUUAGCUAGAGAAGAAUCAGUCAUCCUUCUUCCCGGUAAGGCUAUUUUAUAUUCAGUCUCUUGUAUAGAAAUUAUAAGACUGGUCCUUUUUUGAUAUAUAUGUGGAUUGGAUGUGGCUGAACAGGGACUGCCGUGGGGCUGAAGAACUGGCUGAGGAUAACGUUUGCGGCAGAUGCAACUUCAAUCGAAGAAGCUUUUAAAAGAAUCAAAUGUUUCUAUCUCAGACAUGCCAAAACUCAAUAUCCAACCACAUAGUUGAAUUCUAUACAUGAUCAAAAUGUAAUUCGAAAACACAUAUACAGUAUAGUGUUUUAUAUAUUUUAUUUAUUUAUAAAUUUUGAUAUAAAAUUAGCUUUCUUGUAAUAAGAUCAGGAUUAUUACACUUCUUGAAAUAAAAGAAUUGAUCAGGAUUACAGAAUAGUUUCGUAUCUCAAAAGGGUUAUAAAGUGUUCUUACGAUUCUGAUAUGAAAAUGAAAGAACUCUUAAAACAAGAUGCAUUGUCUCAAAGAGAACCGAAAUAAAAAAGGUUCGUACUUUAAGUUAAUAAACAUUUUGCUUAGAUGAUAAUGUUAUUAAAUUUAAGUAGGUAGGAUACGACCAGCCCACGUGAAUACAUGCAUGUAUUUGAGAAAAAUACUUGUUAAUCAACGAACUUAUUUCAAUUAAUUAAUCAGAAUAGUAAGUCCCAAUUCAUUAAGCACUGUUAAGUGGGCCUUUCGGCCCCAUAGCUUUGAUUCCCAAAUGACCCCUUCUAUAUAAACCGACUUCAAAUUUUGUGUUAAUCUUUACUAUCCAUUUUGUAAAAUAGGUUUUUACUAGAGUUGCAUAAGCUAGUUAACUUACUACUAGAUGGUGAACCACUAUUGGAACUUGUUUUAGAAAAUGAUACAUUUUCGAACUUGUAUUGUUAUGGAUUUAUAUACAAAGUUUGAGUUAAUUUUGUUUGCUUAUCUUUUUUUUUACAUAAAACACCCUCAUUGUUAAAAUAUAUGUGUGUGUGUGUGUAUAAGUAGCAUCCGUAGCCACAACAUUGUACAUAGCACAACAAAAAGAGAGAGAGAGAGAGAGAUGGAGAAUUCUGAGAGUGAGAGUCAGAGCGGAAACAAGAAAAAGAGGCUAACACAAGAGCAAGUAAGACAACUGGAGAAAUGCUUCACUGUGAACAAGAAACUCGAGCCAGAUCUCAAGAUUCAACUGUCGAACCAGCUAGGUUUACCUCAGAGACAAGUGGCAGUCUGGUUCCAAAACAAACGAGCCAGGUCCAAGACUCAGGCUCUCGAGCUCCAACACUGCACUCUUCAGUCCAAGCUCGAAGCAGCUCUCUCCGACAAGGCAAAGUUAGAGCGUCAAGUGCAGUUUCUCCAAGAUGAGCUGAAAAGAUCGAGGAAUCAGCUUGCUCUGUUAAGGAGUCAUGGUUCACCUGCGGAUAAUUCUUAUCUUGGUUCUUGUGAAGAAGAAGGGCAAGAUGAUCAAGUGGUUGUCUUCGACGAGCUUUACGCUUGUUUUGUUAGCAAUGGACAUGGAUCUUCAUCAACCUCAUGGGUCUGAUUCUGUUUUCGACAAAGACAAGAUUCCAAUAUAUAGUCUUGUCUCUGUUUUUCGUUUGAUCUGUUUCUUGUUGUCUGAAUAUAUCUAAAAUCUGUAAUUAAAGUCAUUCAGGCAUUCACUAAAUACAAAGAGGUUAUUUUUCUUCAUUUUCAUACUACAAUUAUAAAAUUAUAAGAAAUUGGAAUCAAGAAUUGCAAUGUUGUAUAUAUAACACCAGAACCCAAAAAUACUUAAUGGUCUAGUUUCAUAUUUUAUCUAAGUAAACAAAUCAAGAUUUUGUAUCGUGUGCUUAAUGGUCCAAUUAAUUUUGACAUUAUCAGUAUAACAUAUAUCUUAGCCAAUUCCAAUUUCCAAAGUCUUUAUUUAUGAAAGAAAAAUCGCAUUCUUGCUUUGCUCAUUUGGACCGGAACGAGUUGAUGAAUUUAUAGUAAAAGACAAAAGUUGAACAAAAAUCAAAUCUAUUACAACUUCGAGAAAAAAGACAAAACACAUCCACGACGACUUCGUCAUGGUCUAGUUUCUUAUUUCCUUAUUUGUGACAGCUACUACGUACGUAUACUUCUUUACAAAGUAUUUCAUUCCAGAUUUGAAUCAACUAGAUUCUGCAAAGUUUCAACAAAUUUAUCAGUGUAACCGGUUAAUAAUCCAGGACUAACCAAAAUCUCCUUCAUUCUUGUGUGGUUCCUCCUCACUCGACCCCCUACCUCGCUAUCUUUGUCCAUCACCGAGGCUCUCCUUCGAGAACCAUCCUGUUUUCUCUCUUUGGACUUCUACCGAAACCUCGAGUUCCUCUGUCAUCAGUCUCGUGUUGAGAACUUGAUCACAUAGAUAUGGAAGCAAGACUAUUUGGCAAUCACUCACUAGAGACUCCCACAUUGAUCCAAACCCACAAUGGUUCACAAAGCAGCCUACUGAUGGAUGAGCCAAUAUCAAUGGUUGCUGCACCCAUUCUCCCCAAACCACUCCACGAUUCUUCACUCUCUCCUCAAACCCUUCUGGCAACGCUUCUUGGAUUGUCUCUGAGCCUUUUGGUGGCUUUACCGCUACAAGAAACGGUAAACCAGUAAGCUCUGUUCCUAAACAGAGUUCUUGGAACUGAUCCUUCUCCAGUUUGAUUUGACUUCCCAAUGCACAAUAUAUUACAGAGCCGGGUUCAAACUGAUUCAGCCAGUGACUCCAUCGAUCUUCAAGUGCUUUACUGUUGUCUUGCUCUGGAAGCAUUGGACCUGUCAAAAGAACCUUCCUCUGGUAUUGACUCUCGAUAUAGUCACAAAACUUACCUUCAACUUCUUUGCAAGUCCUUACUGAAAUGAAAUUACAAUUCAUUAGACCUGUUGUUAUCCGGUGAUAAAGCCUCUCGAAGAACAUGGAAAAGGAAAACAAGGCGUGAGCAUCUUGCUCACGGUACACCACUUUUGACGAAGGAUAACCCGGUGGAGAUACUCCUAAUUCACUACCUGGGACAAGUUCAUGAGCUAUGGAGUUAGCCGAUACCACAAAGUACAACACACUCUUGACUCUGUGUUCUUUCGCCACUUCUGGAACCCAAUAAGCAAAAUCGAAAAAGAUUAGGUCUGGUCUCAAAGCACAGACCGCUGCUUCUACCUGAUCGCGUGUUAGAUCCAUGGCUGCGGUCAGAAACUUCCCCAACGAGAUGGGGAUAUCCGAGGCGGUCUCGGCGCCAGUAGGGAGGCCAUCAACAUGAGGUAUAGUAAGAGGGUGAAAGACAAUAUUGUCUGGGAAUAGAUUGUGAUGUUCCAACUGUUUCUGAGCUUUCUUAGGUAGCAAGAAAGUAACCCUAUGACCAUUCUCAGCUAACUUGUUGGCUAGAUGCAAGUACGGAGUCAUAUGACCAAAAGCAAACCAUGGGAACAUAAAAGCAUGAAACUGUUUGCCCAUUUUUCUUUCCUAAACAGUCGAAACACAAAAACAAAAAUAAAGAUUUCAAAGAGACCCAAAAGAAGAAGUUUUUGUUGUGUUUCAAAUGAUAAGCAUCAUUGCUUCUUCUUCUUCUUUUUUUUUCUUUUUUUUUUGCUUGCUAAAAGAUUCCUGCAAUUGAUGUUUAAGCUUGGAGAAUGAGCUUCUGAAAGUGUUUAAGGUUUUUUUAUUACUACCCCUUGGUGGUUUAGUAAUUAGUAGGUGAACCAGUGGGUGCAUGUGUUGAGAAUAUACUUUGUCUACAUUAGAAAAGUCUAUGAUCUAGAUGAUAUUAUUGUUUAUAUUUAAUCCUUAUUGUAAUGUAGACAUGUAAUGCCUCUAGAAAAUACAAUGUUGCAUAUCAAAAAGUCAAAUACUAGGUUUGACUACGAAUCUGAACCAGGUUAGCCUGGCCCUAUUUGAUUCGAGUCUGUACAAGCCCAAAUAUAUCUUAAUUUGAGCUCGACCACCUAAAAGGAAAGUACUUCAUGAAACAUCAUGAGAUGAGGGAAAUAAAAUAUCCCCUAGAGUCCUAGACUCAAGUUCAAAUUCUUCCUUUUAUCACUCUAGCUAUCUUUCUCAAUUCUUUCGGAUCUGACUUGUGUUUUAGGAAGAUGAACUUUAAACUCUAAUUGUGUUAUUGCAACAACACAGCACAAAUGCAAUCUCGCGUUCCAACAAAGAAAGAAACAAUCUUGUUUAAUAAGGAUCAAGCAUGCAUUUGUUGAUACCAAAAGGAGACUGAAUGUUUUUCAGAUCAAUGCAGCUUCGAUCGGUCUUCGACCUUGUUGAUAGUAAUCGAAGUAGGUCUUCUCAGAUAUCUUAAUUGCUUUGUACAACCUUGGUCUUGCCUCAGACACAAGCCCAUAUACAGGUUGAAUCUCGUUGUCCUUAUCAGCGUUGCAAAACGUUGCCACAGAUAUCCUUUCCUUUUCUCUGUUAAGCACCACUCUAUGAACAGGGCUCUUGUAUAUUCCAUUGCUCAUUAUCUGAACACACAUGAGAGAUUCUUUCAAAUCUGCACCAAUCACUCUUGAAAUAUAUUGUAGAUGCAUUUUUUUUAAAGAAACUUUAUAUUUUUUCAUACACGAAUAUAUCAAGAUUGAUUACCUCCAUAGUAUCUCCUACAUUGAUCAUAAUGUUAUGAGGGAUGAUUGAAGCUUUAUACCACUUCCCAUCUUUGAGGAACUGAAGUCCUUCGACAUUUUUGUCGGGUAUGAGAAGAGUAAAGGCCGAGCCGUCAGAAUGCGGUUUAAGCCCAAGAACCUUGUCCGGCCUCAAACAUGGAGGAUACAUGUUAAAUCUUGUCUCCAUCGUAGCAUUUUUACCAUGCAUCUCUAGAAAGCAAUUAUCUUCCAACUCCAACGAUCUAGCCAAUGCCUUGAAGAAUUGCUCAACCACUAGCUGUUGCUUCAUUGUGUAUUCAUUUAAAGUCUCCCUAAAGAAACGCUAGUAAAAAACCAAAAAAAAAUCUAAAGUAAAGCUAAAGGGAACUCAAGCUAUGGAUAUUUACCUGAAUCCGAUUGGGAUGUUAGGCCAGAACUUAAGCUUUCGUUGAUUUUCAGGGGAAGUAAUGAGGUACAAGCGGUCGACCCAGUCAAGAACUUGAUCAUCCGACAGUAUCAUGUCGUUUCCAUAUCCUUGAGAACUACCAAUCUCUCUUGCGUACUUUUGUUUCUCUUCUGUCGGAAGCGCAAAGAACUGCUUCGUUAGCUCAUAAACCUUGUCGAGUAACGUUUCUGUGAUUCCAUGAUUCAUCACCUGCUUCAAAAGAGAGAUUUAAUUUCUUUGACGAAUUUUUAUGAUUAUAUAUGAUCAUUACUAAGAGAGCAAACCUGAACAACGCUCCAUGUAGAUAGCGCCGAGUGAAGUUUAUUCACCUCUUCUCGACCGACAUCAGAUGAAGAGAAGAGUAGACUAAGAUCGAUGGAAGUAAUUUCCAUCUCUUGCAACGAACCGUUGAAAGGUUGACCACCUUCUCCGUCGCCGGUGGAUGUGUAGAGGUAUCUUUCCGGUAGUCUUUCGCCGGCUGCAACCACUUCUUGAACAGUCUUGAACUUUGGUUUCGCCAUCUUUCGUAGGAUCUUUUGUUAGAUAAACUUAAAAAAAAUAAAAUUGUAUUAAACGAAGACGAUCUUGAGUUCUUCUUGAAUUUUCACUAUUUUAAUACCAGUUGCCCCAGGACAAAAAAAAUGCCGUUUCGUAACAUUAUCUCAAGAGUGAAUAUGCAACCUAACAAUUUUUUAUUUUUUUUUCAUUUUCUUUAUAUUUCGAUUGUGCCCAAGAUUUUAAGGAAUAGUUAAGAAAAGCAUCUUUAAAAGAAAGAGAAAAUACACUAUGUUUGGGUUUGAAAUUUUGUUUUGAGUAUAAAAAUUAGUACGAAUAUGCAAAAAAAUAUGUAUUACUCCCAUGGAUUGUUUUGUAUUUUUCUUAUCACUGGAAGAGUUGAAAAUGAAAUUUUUUAUUUGUAAGGCUAUCUACUUAAUUUUCAUCUCAAAUUGAGUCAUUUACAUAUUUUAUACCCUAAAUAUUUCUCAAAUAAUAGUAACAUAUCAAGAUCAUGAGUUCAUCAAUCAAGUUAUAUUUGAUUUAAUAAGUGAAUAGAACAUAACAAGAAACGAACAGUUAACUACUUGAAAGAGCAGAGCUUAAAAAGUCCAUGCAUAUAUAUAACGUUAUUGUGGCAAACCAAGUUUCUUACAAAGUAAAUUAUUCAUCUUCUUUCUAUUUAGACUAGUUUCUGUAAUGCUUCUAUAAACUUAUUGACAUCACGAUUCAUUAGUCCAGUACUAACCAGAGACUCUUUCCAUUUAGCGUGGUUCCUCCUCACUAGGUUCCCUAGCUCACUGUCUUUAUCCAUCACAGAUUUAAUCGAAUCGCUCAAGCUCUCCUUUGAGAACCAUCCUGUUUCCUCUCUCUUCACCUCCACCGAGACCUCGAGCUCCUCGCUCAUCAGUCUAGUGUUAAGUAUUUGUUCACCCAAAUGUGGAAUAAACACUAUUUGGCAGUCAUUCACUAGAGCCUCCCACAUUGACCCGAAACCGCAAUGACUCACAAAGCAGCCUAUGGAUGGAUGAGCCAAUAUCAAUGGUUGCUGCACCCAUCCUCCCCAAACCACUCCACGUCCCUUAACCCUCUCUUCGAACCCGUUUGGUAAGGCUUCUUGUAUUGUGGAGAAGCCUUUUGGUGGCUUUACCGCUACAAGAAAUGGUAAACCUGUCAGCUCCAUUCCUAGACAGAGUUCUUGGAACUGGUCCUUUUCAAGAAUGAUUUGACUACCCAAUGCACAGUAUAUUACUGAUCCCGGUUCAUACUGGUUCAGCCAUUUUCUCCAUUGAUCUUCAAGUGGUUUACUAUUGUCCGGCUCAGGAAGCAUUGGACCCGUCAAGAGAACUUUUCUUUGAAAUUGGCUUUCGAUGAAAUCGCAGAAUUUUCCUUCCAUUUCUUGACAAGUCCUUAUCGAAAUGAUAUCGCAGUUUUUAAGUCCUAUCAUUAUACGUUCGUAAAACGUAGUCCCAUCUCCAAACGGGUAGGAGAGAAAGGCAAAACAGUUAGUUUCUUGUCCCCGAAGCAACACCUUAGAAGAAGGAUAUCCAGGUGGAGGAACAGCCAUAGCAUCUGGACUAUGACCAGGGACAAACGAGAUAGCUACACAUGCUGCAGAGAUCGUUAUGUAAUUCACACUCUUGGCUCCAUACUCUCUAGCUAUCUCAGGAAUCCAGUGAGCAAAAUCGAAGAAAAUCAGAUCCGGUUUACCUAUAGAAACCGCUUCUUCGACCUGAUUGCGUGUCCGAUCCAUAGCCGAGGCGAGAAAACUCCCUGAGGAGAUCGGUAUAUCGGAGGUUGUCUCGGCGCCAGCAGGGAGGCCAUCUACAGAUGGGAUGGUAAGUGUCUGAAAAAUGAUGAAGUCUGGGAAGAGAUUGAGAGGUUCAAGUUGCUUCAAAGCUUUCUUGGGAAGCAAGAAAGUGAUUCUGUGCCCUCCCUCAGCUAAUUUGUUAGCCAGAUGCAAAAACGCAGUCAUGUGACCAAAGCCGAACCAUGGGAACAUGAAAGCAUGAAACUUUGACCCCAUUUCUGUUAUGUUCCUCUGUUUUUGUCUUUCUAACCUUGUUUCUUAAUUGUGUUUCUGUUUAUGAAAUUUUAGAACUGAAGUUUAGGAGAAGACUGGUAUCAAUUGAAUGAUUCAAGUUUGUUACGAAAUCUUUAGUUUUGAUUAAUAAAAAUAUAUUAAAGUUGUUUACGUAAUUUGCAGUUUCUCCCUUUUGGUAAUUAAUUUCCGGAAAUUAUUCCCUAAUCCAUGCUAUAUAACACACAAGAUAAAUUAAAUACUAUUUUUAGCAAUUUAAAUUGCAAGAUCGUGACACUCUUGUUUGUUACGAAUAUGCCAAAUCUAAAAUUUCAUAGAAUUGAUUAAAUUCUACAAACUAAAACAAUUUAUAAAAACUCAUAACUUACAAUAACACAUAGACAUUGACGAAUUAUGAAUUCAUGACUUGUUCACAAGUUCAGUCAAACUCUGUUCAAACGUAUUGAUAUAACCAUCUGCGAAACCAGAGUCACUCAAAACACAUCUCCACUUGUCAUGAUUCUUCCUCACUUUCACACCAACCUCACUACCUUCCUCCAUCACACUCUUCACAGCAUCCUCCAAGCUCCGCCGCGAGAACCAUCCAUUCUCUCCUCUCUCCACCUCAACCGCCACCUCCAUCUCCUCUGUCAUAAGCCUCGCGUUCAAGAUCUGUUCUCCGUGAUGCGGAACCAGAACGAUCUGACAAUCACUCAUCAAAGACUCCCACAUCGACCCAAACCCGCAGUGGCUAACGAAACACCCCACUGAAGGAUGGUCUAACACCAACGGUUGCUGAAUCCAACCUCCGUAUACAACGCCACGUCCUUGAACCCUCUCCUUGAAUCCUUCCGGUAACGCUUCCUCGACGGUUGAUACACCUGAAGGAGGCUUUAUCGCAACCAGAAACGGUAGACCAGUUGAUUCUAGCCCUAAACAGAGUUCUUGAAACUGGUCUAUCUUGUCUACAACGGGUUGGCUACCGAAAGCACAGAACACAACCGAAUUAGGUUUGAAUUUGGCUAGCCACUCUGCCCAUUGAGGCUCUAAAGAGGGCUGAUUGGGUUGGGAUCCGGGGAGUACAGGUCCGGUUAGGUUAACUGGUUUGUUGUAUUGGCUACUGAUGUAAUCGCAGAACUUGCCUUCCGUCUCACGGCAAGUCCUUAUAGCUAUCGCGUCGCAGUUUCUCAUCGCAGCGACUUGUACGUCGAAGAAAGAAGCAAUUCCCUCGUGCUUCCUCCACACGAAGCUUAGGAGUUUUGCUUCAUGGGCACGCAAGACCACUUUCGAAGACGGGUAACCUAGAGGCGUCUUAGCUAACUCCUCCCCUGACAUUUCCUUCCCAUCAAUGACCUCUCGCUCAGCAGCAGGGACAAGAGACAGCGCGAUUGAAGCAGCGCUCACGAUGUGGAAGCAAACAGUUUUAGCACCCAUCGGUUUAGCAAUUUCCGGUAUCCAAUGGGCAGAAUCGUAGAAAACCAAGUCUGGUUUGAUUGUACGGAAGAUGGUCUCGACCUCUGGGCGGGUUUGGUCCAUUGCAACCGCGAGCAAAUGAGUCAAGAAGAAGGGGACGUCAGAGUUGGUCUCCGCACCGGGAGGUAGACCUUUAACCUGAGGGAUGGAGAUGGUGUGGAAAGUGAUGAGCUUCGGGUAUAGAUUAAGAGGUUCAAGCUGGUUUAGUGCUUUCUUGGGAAGCAAGAAAACAAUCUUGUGACCUUUCUCUGCGAGUUUGUUGGAGAGGUGAAGAAAAGGAGUCAUGUGACCAAAGGCUAACCAUGGAUACAUCACAAUGCUCAUGCUUGACGAACCAUUUGAUCCAAAAUCACCCAUUUUGUUGGCUUUGCCUUAUACUUUUUCUUUAUAUUUUAUCAUAAAGUUUGUUUCCUUCUUCUGUGAUAUAUAAUUGCUCAAACCCAUUAAACGGAUUGGUGAGUGUCGCUUGUGAGUCGUGAUGAAUGGUGUGUUCUUAUUUGCCUGUUUGAGUAAACCAAAUGACCGGGCAAGUGUAACCUCCCGGUAAGUGCAAACACGUGAUGGUAUCGUAACAUCAACAAGACUCCUUGUAAUAUUCGGCCCACCAAAUUAAUGGACCAUAUUUAAAUUCGUCACCCUUAUUAAUCCCACGGUCAACGUUUUAACUUGAGUUACGUUUGUCUGAGUAUAAAACUUUUAUGUUUCACUCUCAAAGGUUGUUUAAUUGAACAGUUCUCAAAAUUGUUGUAACUCUCGGAAUAAUCUUAACGUUAUCCUUCCUUGUAUUACGAUAUAAAUUGUUUAUUUGUGUUGAUACCUGAACCAUCCCAAUUGAACUAUUGACCCUUCUUCAUAGAUAACAUAAAAAAAAAAAGAUCACAAUAUAGUCACCAUGGUAUAGUAGAACAAAUGUAAAUAUAGUAGUUAUAGGGACUUAAUUACAAUUAGCUAUACCCUAAUGUCUCUCUGUACAAGUAUAUAUAGUCUGUAACUUUCACUCUCUGUAAUAUAAGAAAUAUCCUUCUCUAUAUCCUCUUCUAAAAAAUAGUUGUUCUCGCAUCGAAGCCGUUGCUCCCACGCACAAGUAAUGAAGUAGCUAUGGUCUUUUUAUAUCAGAAUGCAUCAAGUUAGGCUUAUUAUAGCUUCUAGUUCCAAUAUUCAAGAAAAGUUUUACUUUUUGGAAAGGUUAUUCUACGUUUUGUUCUACAAUAAUAACAAAUUAAAAAAUUCAAGUUUGACCUCAUAGCAUCUAUUUUCUCUCUUCAUGAGGGAUAAACUUGAUUCUUGAAAGAAACUUCGCUUUCCCUUGGUACUUGACACUCAACCCUCUUGUAUGAUCUUGAAGACAUCUUCAUCAACACUUAACAUAAAAUAUUUUCUUUAAACAUACCACCUAUACUAGGAGAUCAAGACCGGUCUUAAAUGACACAGUGAUAUUGGUUUUGACCUUCUAGGUUGAUGAAAUUUUUUCCUCAGACUAAGCUUAGUUAACCUUUUCCAAGAUGAUCCUCUGGCUUGUAACAAAAAAAACAAACAAAUUAAGUUUGAACUUAGUUUUUUUUUACCCAAGCCUAGCUAGGUUGUCCUUCAAGAAUUCACCAAGGACAAAGAGGAGUUUUGGAAAUACUUUUUAACCAGCGAUAGAGGCUAUUCAGUAAAUAUACCUCCCUAGCUGCGUCAUUGGCUUAUAUAAGUUAAACCUCUUAUACCAAUGUCUCACACUGGUUACAAACACUGCACUUUUAUUCUAGCAUCACUAACCGUUAAGGUUAACAUAAUUACAAACUAUCGAUUUGAUGGAGGCUUAUUUGUUAAAUAAACCUUUCCAAAAAUAGAGGUAUGCCGCAUAAGUGCAGAGAAGACACGGUAUUCUUUAGUAAAAGGCGAAAGAAUAGUUCGCUUUGUCUUCACUGCACAUCUCCGUGAAUCUUUGGAAUUAGCUCUAUGCUCUUUAUUUAUACUUGAGUUCACUCACUGUUCCUGAGUCUUUACAACCGAUGUGGGAUGUAAAGAAAACAAUCUGUUAUUGUGGGUUAUUAUUAGUUUAGCGAGAUAUGGGCUGUUGCUUGUUUAUUUGUAAGCCCAUCCCAUAUUUAUUGUUUUUUUUUUCUACCUAAACAAGAGUCAGUUACAUUGGUAGAACCAAUAUUGGUGCUUUCAUGAUUGCUAAGCAGAAAGGUUUCAAUCCUAUGUUGUGCAAAGGGCACGUUUCUUCGGUUUCUUCUACUCUUUGAGAGACGAUGAGACAAGGCUUUAGUAUUUUCUUUUUUUAAGGUCUCUUUUUGGAAUAAUAAUAAGACACACACACACAAUAUAAAAAAAUAAAUAAACAACCAUGUUUUCUUGGUAUUCAAUAUAUAAUUCAAGUACAUUAUUCGAAAACAUAAAGGAAAAAAGAAAACCAAUACUUAAAACUAAAAUAUAAAAUCCAAAACAUAAUUUGGAAAAACCAGAAAAGAAUGCAAACGAUCUACACUGGAAUCAUUGGUUGCAUUACAUUAUACUGAAAAUUAAGGACAACGAAUUUGUUUUCUAAUUGGUUCCAGUAGAGCUUGAGGACAUGACCAACUUCGAGAUCUAACGAAUGCUUCAUAAUACUCCAACCAGUCCCGAAGUAAUAUUUAGGGUUAUCAAUACCUGUAGUUUUCAGAGUAACCGUGUACAAAUCGUUUUCCAUUAGGUCGUGGACUUGCACUUCAACACCGUUUUGCAAAUUUUCGUUUGUAACAUUAUUCAUCUUCGUUAGGACAGACAUCACCUCUGCUUUUGGUAAUGUCAUAUUACCUACAACAUCAGACUUCGACAGCUCUUUUGUUAUGAUCAUCGCCGGAUCUAAUGGCUCGUUGUAAUUCAUCUUUGCUAAUAGCUUUGACCUAAUAAUAUUUUUGUGUUCACGAUGCAAACAUAUAUAUAAGAGACUUUGCAUAAGAAAGAUAGGAAAAAAUACAAAAGAAAAGGAAACUGGAAAUCCUUUGACAAUUUAGAAAAUUAAAUAAAAUCUUUGGUAUUACCUUAAUAUGGAAAUGGAAAGAAAUCUUUGUGCAAAAAAAAAUAAAAAUAUUGAUUUAGAAAAUUUUCUUUUGUAAAACAGAGAAAAAAAUUUGUGCAAAUUAUUGAUUUUAGAUAAUUUCCAUUUUGUUACUUGAGAAGAAAGAUUUAUGCAAUUUCCAUUUAUAUGCUCAUCUCUUUCGAGUUUAGACCAAAGUCAUUAGGCGUGGGGGCAUUGUUUAUUACAAAUAAACCAGAACAUUCAUUCCAAUGAGAUCAUUAGGCGUGUAUCUACAUCAUUGCUAUAUCUUAUCAUAUUGAUUAUAUUGCUACAUCAUUGCUACAUUAUUGCCACAUCAUUGCUAUAUGUUGUAAGUUUGGUUAUAUAUGUAUGAGUAAAAUAGAAAACUUUUCCAUUCAAAAUUAAGAUAUUGAUGAAGGAUAUGGAGUAUAUAAUAAAACUUUGCUGUAAUAAAAUAUAAAUCUGAGAGCAUUUUUGUCCUGAUUGAAAUCAUCAUGUCUACUACAACGUUAACAAGUCAACAUGGUAACUUUUAGAUGUAAACCAUGUUUUGUAUCAAAGGUUGACGUUACGUACGAAUCUUAAAAUGUGACGAUCUUGUUAAUCUUAUAUAAUAAUAACGAGUACAAAGUAUACGUUUAACUUGAUUUACUCUAUAAAUUGUUUGUUUCUUCUCAUAACCAAACCAACACAAUCAAACGAUUCACUCUCAAAUCAAGUGCAAUGGAAGGUAUAUAUAGGAUCCAAGUGCAUCGAUCUCGCCACGAUUUCUGAUCCUAGCCAUACAACUUUAGCUAACAAAUUGGUUUCUAACUCUUUUUCUUUUCUUUUUAAUAUACUAAUAAGCAUGCUUAUUAGUACUGAGGUGUACGUGUUUUUAGUAAAAGCGACAAUUGUCAUUCAUGCAUGGCAUCGUAUUCAAUGGCACCGUUGGUUCCAUUUUCCAUAAUCACUUUACACCACCGAUUCAUCUUGACCAACCGCAAAGAUAUCCAACGGUUAGAGAUGUGAUUAUGAUAUGGGUGUUAGUUUGUCAAAUUAAGAAAAAGUGGGUGUGAAUAUAUAAUUUCGUACAAAUAAUAGGGUAACUUUUUGAUACGCUGUAAAGUAUAAAAAUUAUUAAUAUAUUUCCAUAAACGGCAAUAAAAAGUUGGGUCUAAUAGGAUAUUUAGUACAUUUUGAGAAUUUAAUUGGGGAAGUAAUACAUUUAUUAUUCAAAAUUGGCAAAAUAGUACAUUUGUGAGAUAGAGAAUUUGAGAGAUAGAAAAAGAAGGAGAAAAAAAAUGACAAGGGAGGGCAUUUUUUUUUUUUUCCCAUUUUCGUUUUUCUUUUUGUUUUUUUGUUUUCUUUUUUUUAUUCUUUAAAAUAUUCUUACCCCAACAUUCUAAUAACUAAAAAUUCUUGGUUUUGUAAUUUUUUUUCAAACUUUUUUUUUGAUUCACAAAAAUCUAUGUUUUUUUCUCUAUAAUUUGAUAUGCAUUUUGCUUAGUAUAGUUUAAAUAUAUUUCAUAAGUAUAUAUUUUUUUGUACACUUUAACAUAUGUACAGACGUAUUUGUACAAUUUAGUAUAUGUACAGACGUUUGUGUACACUUGAUUAGAUGUACAGAGUAUAUGUACAGACGUAUUUGUACAAUUUAUUAUAUGUACAGACGUUUGUAUACACUUGAUUAGAUGUACAGAGUACCCCGUACAGCUUGCUAUAUGUACGCAUGUAUAAAAAAUUACACAUUUUUAUCUGUACAACUACUAUGAUAUAUGAAUUUAUGCAUAUUUAUGUACAUAUUCGUACACUAAUAUGUUGUACGGAUGUUAUUAUGUAAUAUUUUUAUUAUUGUACAAAUAUAUGUUUUUACACUUCUGUACAUAAAAUAUGAUGUACGAAUUAUAUUAUAUAAUCAUUAUAUAAUUAUUCUAAUGGCAUACUUGUAAAUAAUAUGUUUUUUGAGUGCUUCAAGAUCAACCAAAUAGUAGCAAAUAGUGAUAAUGUACUAGUUUCCUAAUUGUAAAUAGUGAUUGUACUAGUUAUAUAAUUAAGUUUCAAAAAUGUACUACUUCUCCAACACGUUUCCAAAACGAGACGUGGCGAGACGAAGAUAAUAUAAACGACGUAGGGAAGCUAUGACGGUGGUUCCAGACGUCGCCGAUAUUGAAUCUUCGUCUUCGCUUGGUCAAGAGACGGCUACGGAGACCGUUAAAGAUGGUCAGACCAGAAGCGAAGGCUCGUCUGACGACGUCGUUUCACUAACCGAAGAUGACGCCGUUAACUUAAACGAUUCGUCUUCGUCAGUUGGUUUUUGGAAAUUGCACGAGAUAGGUCUAAUAACGCCGUUUCUGAGAAAGACGUUUGAGAUCGUCGAUGAUGUGGUAACGGACCCGGUUGUGUCAUGGAGCUCGACCCGUAAAAGCUUCAUCAUUUGGGAUUCUUACGAGUUCUCUGAGAAUCUUCUUCCUAAAUACUUCAAGCACAAGAACUUCUCCAGUUUCAUCCGCCAGCUUAACACCUACGUAAGCGCAAAACAAGUUCUUUUACUUAUUUUUUAGGCUUUUAGCUAUGUUUCUUGUGACGCAAGCUUUGUGAAUUUUAACUAGGGGUUUAAGAAGGUUGAUUCAGAUAGGUGGGAGUUUGCUAAUGAAGGGUUUCAAGGAGGGAAGAAACAUUUGCUUAAGAACAUCAAGAGGAGGAGAAGCAAAACUAACUGUAACAAAGAAGCGAGCAUCACAGGGUUGAGGACUGAGACUGAGGUUGAGUUAUUGAAGGAGGAACAGAGUCCAAUGAGAUUGGAGAUGUUGAAGUUGAAACAACAACAUGAAGAAUCUCAACAUCAAAUGGUCACUGUGCAGGAGAAGAUUCAGGGAGUUGAAUUAGAACAAAGACAUAUGCUUAGUUUCUUUGCAAAGUUGGCGAAAGAUCAAAGAUAUGUCGAGAGGCUGGUGAGAAAGAGGAAGAUGAAACAACAGAGAGAACUCGAAGCAAACGAGUUCGUGAAGAAGUUGAAGUUGCUUCAGGACCAAGAAACUGAAAAGAACUUAGGGGAUGUAGAUCAAAGCAAUCUAAUAAUUAGAGAAUUUAUGGCCAUGGCUGCAACGCAACGCGAUCAUGACUCUGACAUUUCGAUGAACAAUCAAAGCGGGAAUACGAGAUGUCAGCUUAACACAGAGGACCUACUUGUUGACGUUGGUUCGAUGGGUGGAAACAAGACUGAUGUUGAUGUAAAUGUAGAUGUGGGUGUAAAUGUGAGGAUCGAGUAGAGCGAAGCUGCUUUCAAGUUUUUUCCUGAACUGUCCGACUCCGUAGAUCUCUGUUUGUAUUAGUUUCAAGUGUAUGUAUAUAAAAAGUGACUUGUGCGCAGAGUCGUCUUGAUUACCGUAGCUCUUAUAAAAAGGGACUUCUAAAAAGUGUAGCUCUCUGGUUAAUAGAGUAUAUAUAGCAAUUAGUCCAUGAAAUUUAUCUUAUUAGUUGUACCAUGUAAACGGCGAACAUGGUAACUGUUAUCUGUCAAAAUGAAACACUUUUGUAUUUUGUUUCAAAGUGUUAACAUUGUAUAUUUUAUGUUUUGUAACAGACGAUUCUUUAAGUGUAAGUGUGUAACUCUUGUAAUGAAGAUUGAUUAUACGUAUACAACUUGAGUUUAUAAAUUGUUUGUUUCGUUUGAUAUCCAAACCAUGCUAUGCUAGCAAGUAGCAACUCACUAUUAAUAAGUGCAAAUGAAAUAAAGAGCCUCACUUUCAAUUAAGAAAUCUACACACAAAGCUAGUGUUAAGCGGCUAAACUUGGUUAUGUUUGCUGUUGAAAAAGAAGAAGAUGGUUACACUGUCUCUUUGGCGGCAUCCAUAUUUAGUUUUGCGUGUAUAUAUUUUCACCUACACUAAGCUCUGUAUUCCUUAACUCUUAGAUUUCGUUUUAAAUAAUGGUUGUAAGUUCUAGUGUGUAUUGAGGUUAUUAUAUAUUGGUGUAGUUUUCAUAUUCAAGAUUUUCUUUGUUCUAGCACUAAGAACUCCUAGGGAGCAAGGAUCUAUUAUAAUUAUUAAUCGCUAAGCAUCUUGAACCAAUCAACAACCACCCUAAUCUACUAAACCCAAAAACUCACUAAUCAUAAAAAGAAACACAAAUCAUACAAAAUCUUAGAGAAAACAAGAUUAGAUUGCAUAAAAAUACUUAAGAAUCAUACAAAAUCUAAAAAGAGCAAUUCAAAACAAGCAUAUGAUCCAUAAGGGAAGAGAAAAAGUAACCUGUCAGUCUCCUUUGAAAUCAAAGAAACAGAGGUACAACCUAUAGGAAAGAUCCUGUUCAAGUAAGGUCGUGACCAUUGUUGCUUUGUGGCCAUAUAUAUACAACAAGAUAUAUUCAUAGAUGGGCGAUGUGGGAGUUUUGGGGAGUACAUGACAUGAUUUGCGUAGGCAAUAUACGGGCCAAGGCCCCCUUAUUUAGGUUUAAAUCUCCAAUCCUAACUUAAGUUAUUUUAUUUGUUAAGUGUAACACUUCCCAUGAUUUGGUUUAAAAGGUUGACAUAACCAAGUAUGUAUGUAUAUGAAUGUUGUGUACCAAAACCAAAACCAAAACCGUAUUCUACCUUAUAUUCGACUUUUGUAUAAUAUACAGCUUUUAUUUGGUUUUUGAAUUUAAACUCCAAAUAGAUAUUUAUUUGGAUUAAUUGUUUUUAAACUCUAAAACUUGAGUUAAUUACUGAUAUCAGUUAGUGAAAGUGUAAACAGUUUUAUGUUUUAAUUCUAAGUUUGUCAAAUAUGAAUUAUGAAAAUGUUAACUCUUCAGUUAUAAAUUUACCGUAUCCGUUCAUAUUGAGAUUACUCUAUAAAUUGUUUGCUUCUUUGGAUCACCAAACCAUCUCAAUCAAUAAGCAAACCAUUCUCUCUCUCUAUAGAAUAAGAAGAAACAAUAGUCUAGUCUAGUCACCAUGAAAGGUAAGAUGCAAAUUCUUCUCUCCACGCUUCUAGUUGUGACUUUGUGUGCCACUACUUUAGUGAAGCCGGGGCUUGCUCAACUCCCUACCAUUCCUGGCUCCCCAAUUGAUCUCGCAAAAUGCUGGUCAUCGCUCCUUAAGAUUCAAGGUUGCGAAAUCGAAAUCUUAAAAUCUGCAUUAACCGGUAAGUUUGAAAAAGUUGGACCAACAUGCUGUAAGGCGUUUGUGGAAAUCGAUGCAAAGUGUUGGCCAAAAAUGUUUCCAUUGAAUCCAUUCUUCCCUCCUCUUCUUAAAGCUGGUUGCUCUCGCAUCAACGCAGCUGCUCCCGCACUUGCAACAUCUAAACUCUCUAUUGUUCCUGGAUUUUCUCUUCCUGGUUCUCCGAUUGAUAUCACAAAAUGUUGGUCAUCAAUCUCUAGUGUCGAAGGCUGUGUGGCUGAGAUAUUCAAAUCAGUAUUCACAAGAAAGUUUGGUAAUGUCGGACCUAUGUGUUGCAAAGCGUUUUCGGACGUAGAUUCCAAGUGUUGGCCACACAUGUUUCCCUUACAUCCGUUCUUCCCUCCUCUUCUCAAAGAUACUUGUUCUCGCAUCAAAGCAGCUGCUCCUACGCACAAGUACUGAAGUAGCUAUGGUCUUUUUCGAUCAGAAUGCAUUAAAUUAGGCUUAUUCAUAGCUUCUAGUUUCAAAAAUCAAGAAUAGUUUCUUUAUUCCAACCAUUAAGGGAAGAUAUUAUUCACAUGUAUUGGUUUAUCUUAUCUACAAUAAUAACAAACAAAAUUCAAAGUUGGCCUACUGACAUCUUUGAUAUGUUUUCAACUAUGGACGUCUUGUUUGCUUUGUUCUUGUUUUCUUGAAAUAGCUUGAGAAAAACUUCACUAGCUUGCAACGAUAAAUUGGACAUCUCUCUCACGGACAUGUAAUGGAAUAGUUUCUAUUCAGACACGCUCGAGCAAAUUUUGUCAAAAGAGAAACCAAAACAAAUAAAAAAAAAAAAAGAGGGAAAAAGGGAACCUGUCAGACCGCCGUGCGACCACCCCGGCAAGGUAGAACCGAGCCGAGUAACGAUCCUCUACAGCAACGGAUGCGCCCAAGGACGACCGUAGCCGUUAAUCACGCUCUGAUCGCACGGUCAUGGUUCAUCAACCAGGGUUAAGGGCCUGUCUCCUUAGAAAUCAAGGAUACAGAGGUACGAGCCUAUAGAACAGAUCCUGUUCAAGUAAGGUCGUGACCAUCAUUGCUUACUAGCCAUUUAUAAAGAAGAACCUCUCUUACCAAGUUACCGAUGUGGGAUAUAAAACAAGUGACAAAAGCAAUCAUAAGCUGAUUUAACCCAAAGCUAGGCCAAAUCGUGAACAAAGCCCAUUUAUAUUGAAGCCCAAUAAUAAUGAAGUCACAGAGAAAUAAAUAGAUAGGAUUUUUAAAAUUUUGAAUUAUUAGGAAAAAAGAGUUUUAAAAUCAGACGCUAUUUGUAUCUUCUUCUUUGAUCAACGUGCCACGUCAGCAUCACUCCCACGUGUUUAUUGGUUAUAUGAAUGUAUCGAUCAUCGCGUCUCAGUUGUGUAUGUGAAGUAGCCAUGGAAGAGGUGAAGAAGAAGAAGCUUGAAGAGUUAAAGUAUCAAUCAGGUUUCGGUAACCAUUUCUCGUCGGAAGCGAUCGCCGGAGCUUUGCCGUUAGAUCAGAACAGUCCUCUUAUUUGUCCUUACGGUCUUUACGCCGAGCAGAUCUCCGGUACUUCUUUCACUUCUCCUCGCAAGCUCAAUCAACGAAGGUUCGUUUUUUUCUAUUACUGUUUUGAAUUCAACUUUUGAUUUGUAAAUUUCGGAUCAUUUUUGUUGAAUUGAUCUUUCAUCUUUGUUUCAGUUGGCUGUAUCGGAUCAAGCCAUCGGUUACACAUGAACCGUUCAAGCCUCGUGUACCAGCUCAUAAGAAGCUUGUGAGUGAGUUUGAUGCAUCGAACAGUCGUACGAAUCCGACUCAGCUUAGGUGGAGACCUGAGGAUAUUCCUGAAUCUGCGACUGAUUUCGUUGAUGGGUUAUAUACUAUUUGUGGAGCUGGAAGCUCGUUUCUUCGCCAUGGAUUCGCUAUUCACAUGUAGAGAGAUCUCUUUUGCUAAUUGAUUUUGGGUUUUGAUUAAUAAUAGAUAGAAUAAUGAUCUUUGUGUUCAACUUUUCUGAAGGUAUGUGGCUAACAAAGGAAUGAAAGACUCUGCAUUUUGUAACGCUGAUGGUGAUUUCUUGUUAGUUCCUCAAGCAGGAAGUAAGUUAGUAGUCUUCAUGCUUUUUGAUUUUGUGUAGAUUCAUUGUUAUAAAGUUCAGAUCUUUUAUUUGGUAAGGAAUUUAAGAUGAAUUGUUGAUGGUUAGUUUAGGCAGUCAUGUAAAGGCAACGGAUUCAAGAUUCUGCCUUGAUUGAUUCUGAUGUUUUGAGUGGUUAUUUAGGGCUAUGGAUUGAAACUGAGUGUGGAAGGCUAUUAGUAUCUCCUGGUGAAAUUGCUGUCAUACCGCAAGGAUUUCGUUUCUCCAUAGAUUUACCGGAUGGGAAGUCGCGAGGAUAUGUUGCUGAAAUUUAUGGGGCUCAUUUUCAGCUUCCUGAUCUUGGACCAAUAGGUACUCUUGAGUUCUUUUAGAUUUUCAACCUGAAUAACCUGGAUUGUGUUUAUAAAAGCCUGUCCCGUGGGAAUUGUAUUGUUGGAUGUACACAGGUGCCAAUGGUCUUGCUGCACCAAGAGACUUUCUUGCACCAACGGCAUGGUUUGAAGAUGCAGUGAGGCCUGACUACACCAUUAUUCAGAAGUUUGGUGGUGAACUCUUUACUGCCAAGCAAGAUUUUUCUCCAUUCAAUGUGGUCGCCUGGCAUGGCAAUUACGUGCCUUAUAAGGUGAAUACAUGUUUAUAUGUUUAUUGAGCAUAAGCUUUUUAAAAUUAACACACUUUUGUCUGAAGAUUUCAUUUUUCCAUCUACAGUAUGACUUGCAGAAGUUCUGUCCAUACAACGCCGUCCUCCUAGACCAUGGAGAUCCAUCUGUAAAUACAGGUCGGUCUUCUAAGCUGAAUCUAUUCUUAUUUUUGUUUCAUUAUGGAUAGGUUACUGGUUCUUUAUUGUUAAUCACACUCUUUCGGGGAAUUAUUGUUCUCUCAGUUCUUACAGCACCAACGGAUAAACCUGGUGUGGCCUUACUUGAUUUUGUCAUAUUCCCUCCUCGAUGGUUGGUUGCUGAGCAUACUUUUCGACCUCCUUAUUAUCAUCGUAACUGCAUGAGUGAAUUUAUGGGUUUAAUCUACGGUGCAUACGAGGUAAACUGCUUUAAGUUCCUGCUUCUGCAAAUCGUUAGCUGGCUACUGAAAAACUCUGUAAACUGACUUCACAACUCACAGGCCAAAGCUGAUGGAUUUCUCCCUGGUGGUGCAAGCCUUCAUAGCUGUAUGACACCUCAUGGUCCAGAUACUACCACAUACGAGGUAUCAUUUCAUUUUCCUCUGAGAUCACUUUUAACCCCUGAAUGUGAAAUACAAUUUAAGUCUGAAGCGUGUGAAACAUUUUGUAUAACUAUUACGUAGGCGACAAUUGCUCGAGUAAAUGCAAUGGCGCCUUCUAAACUCACAGGUACAAUGGCUUUCAUGUUCGAAUCAGCCUUGAUACCUAGAGUCUGUCAUUGGGCUCUGGAGUCUCCCUUCCUCGAUCAUGACUACUACCAAUGUUGGAUUGGCCUCAAGUCCCAUUUCUCACGCAUAGACUUGAACAAGACAAAUAUCGAACCAACAGAGAAAGAGCCACGAGCUUCAGUGUAAAGAAAACACUAUUCUCCUAAACCUUUAAUAUCCAGUCUGUAUAGACCUGUAGGUCCUUUACCAUAUACCUGUAUAAGAAAGAAGCAUAGAACAAGAACCAUGUAAUUAGUAGGUCACGUUUCUUCAUAUCAUGUUAAUUACAUCAUUUGUACUCUGAAGCUAAUAUAACGGUGUUGGUUUGGAUACUAAUGAAUAUAACCGUGCCAUUUAGAUUCAGGCCACAACAUCAGUCAGUUUCACUUUCAUCUUCAUGAUGCCUACUUGCACUAAGAUCUCUUUCUUCGACUGUUCUACUUUCAAAACAGUCGCUUUUUUGCCAAGAGAUGAAACAAAUACUGAGCUACCAACUUCAGGAACCUUUUGAGCCGCAACUUCUGUUAAUGCAGAAACAUGAUUCAGCUUCAAAGACCAUAACCAGAUAAUAGCUAUUUUGAAAGGGCUUAAACUUAUUUAAAUACCAGAAAUUGGUCGUCUCUCUACCACAGACGAUGAACGAAUUCCCCUAUUUUCAUCCUUAGUCGUUUCUACUUUUUUUGGGAGUUGCGUAGCUACCUUUGACUGAGAAGAUUGUGCAGCAGAUAUGCGAAACUGUUGCAAUGUUCUGCGAAGUGUAGAACGAGUCAUCGAACCAGCCUGAGUUAGUUCUUGUCUCAUUUUUCGUCUCUCUUUGGUGGAAUGGUCGUUAAUGUUCUUUUGUGCUGUGAGUAGAUUCUCAUGAAACUCUCUUGAGAGCCUAGAACCAAAAGAGAAAAACAUAAACAUAAAGCUCAUAUGAGAGUACAGUUCCUGAAUCCUGACUCUUAGGUCUUAAAUCUUAUCACUUAUAAGUUCUUCAGUAGUUUAAUCUCUUAAACAACCGUAGAUAAUCAUACCUUAUAUAAACACGUGACUCAUUCAAAAGUCUUUGAUAUUCUUGCUUGUACUGUUCCAUGUCAAGUAUGACCUCAUUGAUUUCAGCACUUUCAGAGCCAUAGAGUUCACGAGCACUCCCGAUGAUAUCACUUGGAAGCCCCAACCUUUCGGCUAUGUUUAUUGCAUUCGAUCGACCUGACAAUUGUUUUUCAAACGUGGGUUGUUGAAGCAUAUUAACUCUGAUUCUAUUUUAGGGGUAAGCAAAUUGAUCAUUUGAGAGUCUAGAUGAGCCUGUAGCUAAACCUGGUACUCCCCAUAAGAUUUUGAAAGUGGGUUUUAAGUUCAGGUCAUCAAACUCCAUGCAAGCAUUCUCAAAGGCAGAAUUGCUACAAUAGAUCCGGAAAGGAAAAGAUGUAAAAACUCUUUAAAACCUUGGAUAAUCCGAGAAGAAUGGCAAGAUCAUUUAAAACCUGUAUUUAAGCGUCUUUAGUUCUCCGUGAUGUGUAGUUGCCAUUGUGAGUAGAGAACCGCUUUCUGCAAAAGAUUCUAGAAUCGCCAUUCCUAAUGCAGCUCCUUCUAGCGGAUUUGUUCCAGCUCCAACCUGAUAAUAGUGCAAGAGUUCAAAGCAUAUUCUUUCAAGUAAUGCAUUUCCCAUUGUUUCCCUUUUUCCAAAAGAGAUAAAUCUUUUAACUUACUUCAUCUAACAACACAAGUGAUCUGCUUGUUGAGUGUGAAAGAAUUUCCUGCAAGUCAAUCAUUCAGAGUAUAAGAAACAUAAGUUGCCUACAUAGCAAGAGAGUUACAUCUUCCAAAAUGAUUAAAUGAUCAUUCGAAACCGGAUGGAAGGUUAACCAAAACUGAUAACAAUCGAGAAUCAGACUUACACUAAUUUGCUUCAAGUGACCAGAGAAGGUAGAAAGUGACUGCAGCAAAGACUGCUCAUCACCAAUAUCAGCAUAAAUGUUGUCAAACCAAGGUAUGCGUGCUGAUUCAGUUGCUAGAACAUAAAGACCUACAAAAACCAUUACGAUCAUUUAAAUUGAUAUAAUAUUAAGUUUCUGAAAUCUUUCACUCUCUCCCAAGGAUUUAUAUCUUUCGUUCAAGUUUUUAACUCACAGAAGAUAUUGCAAGUUUCAUAUGUCGUACCUGAUUUUGCCAUCAUUGCAGCGAGUCCAACUGAUUUUAAGCAAAUGGUUUUACCUCCUGUGUUUGGACCAGUUAUAACCAAAACUUUUGUGCCAUUAGAGAUCUGGAAAUCAGCUGGAAUUGGCGGGGCUCCUGAUAAUACCGUGUCUGCCUGAAAAACCAACCAUGAAUUUAUUAACUUCAUAAUAUAUGGUUUAGGGUUUAGGGUAGGGUUUAGGGUACAUGAUAUAUAUACCCUAAACCCUAUAUUCAAUGAUCAUAACAUGGCGAACUUACUGUUUUAUGAUAUUUUACAGUCUCCCGCUUCUUUCUUAUGCUUUUCUUGUGUUGGUGAAGCAAUAGAGGAUGAUAACAUCUAGGUAGAUACAGCAACCAUUCUUUUCUAGGAUGCGAUUCCUCACUGGAUAAGUUACUCUCCGGUGGGUUUUCUUCAGCAGACAAAGAUUCAACCCCAUCUUCAGCUGGCAAGUAUAUAUCAGGAUGUGCACCAUCAUAUGCACGACUGUAAGUUGCUCGAGCGUUUAUCUAGCCGGAAAAAAAAUACACGAUAAACCUCAUGUUUGAAAGGUCAUGUUGCUGAGAUUUUUUUUGCUUUAAUGGAAAGAGAAGUGAUUGGUGAUAAAAGCAUAUACUUACCACAUCCAGCUUAAUCGAGUAGCUCAACACUACCUCGAUAUCAUAAAGAUCAACUUGCAUCUGUUUUGCUUACAUCAAAUUGAACAAAAAUGUCAGCAAGCAGAAAACAAUAACAAGGAAAAAAUUUAGAAUUCUAACUUAACAAAAUUACCUUUUCAGUUAGCAUUGAAAGAAUUUCUGCCUCAGCCUUAGCAACUGAUGCUCUUGCACUUUGAAGAUCAUCAUUCAUAGAGACCGCAGCUAUUGGCUCCGCCGCAGUCCCUCCACCUGAACCACUGUAACAAAUAUUACCUUCAAGAGAUAGAAUUUGAAAAUAAAUCACCAGAGGACAAGCAUAACUUCUAAAUAACUUAGUCAAUGGUAAUGAACUCUUUGUUAAUAAAUCAAAUUUCAAUCUAAAAUUAUGAAUCUUCUUUGCUAACUGAAAUCUACAAAUUCAAUUGUUACCUGGAAAGCAAAAGACCAUUAACAGAAGCUAGCUGAUUUGAGCUCAUUUGUAUGCACCAUCUUCCAUCAAUUUCAGACGCUACCUGGAAUUUUGUUUCGAAUAAUCAAUAGGGCCAGCUUAUAAAAAAUGAAGAUUUGCUCCUUUACGGCCAGUUUAAGAGAAUGCUUACCAUGACAGAUUCGUCAUCCUUUUGGCUCCUUAUAAUAGCAUCCAGCAGUUGCUGUAGCUGAAAGGAGACAGCAGGAAGGUUUCAGAAUAUAUAACUUUAAAAGAUAUCUUGCUCAAGACAUGUAUAUAGUAACCAAGAUAUAUUCAAAGAGCAAGAUAUCAAAGCAAAAUCAAAAACUGUUUUGACAAUCUUCAAUUCACAGUUACAGAGAAAAACUAAAUUAACCUUUCUUUCAAGUGUUUGCACUCUUUCACGUGAUUGUCUAAGGGUACUACUCUGAAACAAUAAAGAUGCGUUCAAUAUAAGGAUCAUGCCUCUUGAAAAUGUAGUCAAAAGCAGGUGAGACAGCAUAAGAACAAACCGCGGAAUCUUUGAUUGUACCAUCAGGAUCUAUAACUUGUUCAACUAACUUGAUAAAUGAUCUAUUAAUCACAGGGUGCAUUAUCUGCAAGAUAGGUGUAAGGAAACACAAAGUGAAUGUGAGGCCACCACAAGGUUAAAGUUAAAAAGAGUAAAAAUAUUUGAAAGAAACAAAAACAGCAAAUACCAAUUCAGAUAGAGGCAUAAACCGCUUGUACCAGUCUCCAUCUUGCUUAAUGGCAGCUUUCAAAUCAAGCUGCAAAUUAUCAAAGAACCGAAGAAGAGAAGCCACUUCAAGUGCUUGGUCUGCUCGUAAGGAAAGCCUCCUCCGAGCAUGACGAAUUCCCGAUUCAACCUUCACACAAAUCAGUAUUCACAUCAGAAACUAUACAAUACAUUUAAAAAAUUAUCACUUCAGAGAUUGAGGAUGAUGAAUUUACCAAGGAGAUAUGAAUACUGGAGAGAUCAAGACAGAAGGAACCAUGUUGAAGCAUUUGAAUGGCGGCAUCUGUUUCAUCCAAAAGCUUCAAACUUUCAUCGAAACUCUGGUCUAGAGACCAAAGCUGUUUCUGAAAACCAGCAAUGUCGUCCAUGUAAGUUCAAAGCAGAGGAACCAUCAACAGCUACAUAUAGAAGAAAACCCAAAAAAAAAAAAAAAAAUCAAACCUUGGUAGUUUCGCGACCUAAAGAAGUACGAGCAAAAGAAGCGACAACAUCGCAGAGCUUGUCCCAUUCCAACACUCUUAAGCUAUCGGUUUGAGAUUUUGAUUUUGAUCGGCAAACAAGAGUGGGAGCAGGUGAAGAUGAUGACGAAGAAAUUGAACUAAGAUUAACAACACUGUUUCUGUUUCCCAAAGAGUAUCUUAUCACCAGGGCACAGUUGCUGAAAGCUACCGAUAAAGUCUGCAUUUUUUGUUUUCUCUCCUUAAGUUUCAGAGAAGAAUUGUAAUAACAAUCCAAUUUCAAUCAACCAAAUCUUCCCAAUUUCAUCAUAUUUGUGAACCUUAUCUUGACAAAGAAGAUUUUGUUAUUUGAUGUUAUUGCACAAAUACUAUAAAACAGAAACCAUAACAUAACAAUGUGAAGAUGUUUUCAAGAGGUAGCAAGUCACACAAAUAUAUAUCACAAGUCUAUUGUUUCAUAAUUACGUACAUGUGGUAACAAUAACAAUACAACAACAGUGGUGAGAAACAUAUGGAUAUUACAGAUUUUUGAUUUUACAACGGUAGUGGGGUUUGAG